rnacentral:rRNA from 1 species
GACGAACGCUGGCGGCGUGCUUAACACAUGCCAGUCGAACGGAAAGACCCUGCUUUUGUGGGGUGCUCGAGUGGCGAACGGGUGAGUAACACGUGAGUAACCUGCCCUUGACUUUGGGAUAACUUCAGGAAACUGGGGCUAAUACCGGAUAGGAGCUCCUGCUGCAUGGUGGGGGUUGGAAAGUUUCGGCGGUUGGGGAUGGACUCGCGGCUUAUCAGCUUGUUGGUGGGGUAGUGGCUUACCAAGGCUUUGACGGGUAGCCGGCCUGAGAGGGUGACCGGCCACAUGGGGACUGAGAUACGGCCCAGACGCCUACGGGAGGCAGCAGUGGGGAAUAUUGCACAAUGGGCGGAAGCCUGAUGCAGCAACGCCGCGUGCGGGAUGACGGCCUUCGGGUUGUAAACCGCUUUCGCCUGUGACGAAGCGUGAGUGACGGUAAUGGGUAAAGAAGCACCGGCUAACUACGUG